CCGACCUUUGCUCAGUUGGUAGAGCGGAGGACUGUAGUUGACGCAGAUUAUCCUUAGGUCACUGGUUCGAAUCCGGUAGGUCGGA
rnacentral:tRNA from 1 species